AGGGUUCGAUUAUGGCUCAGGACGAACGCUGGCGGCGCGCCUAACACAUGCAAGUCGAACGGAGCUUAGAGAGCUUGCUUUUUAAGCUUAGUGGCGAACGGGUGAGUAACGCGUGAGUAACCUGCCCUAGAGUGGGGGACAACAGUUGGAAACGACUGCUAAUACCGCAUAAGCCCACGGUACCGCAUGGUACUGAGGGAAAAGGAUUUAUUCGCUUUAGGAUGGACUCGCGUCCAAUUAGCUAGUUGGUGAGGUAACGGCCCACCAAGGCGACGAUUGGUAGCCGGACUGAGAGGUUGAACGGCCACAUUGGGACUGAGACACGGCCCAG
rnacentral:rRNA from 1 species